CCGACCUUAGCUCAGCUGGUAGAGCGGAGGACUGUAGUUAGUCAAGCAGAUGAUCCUUAGGUCACUGGUUCAAAUCCGGCAGGUCGGA
rnacentral:tRNA from 1 species